rnacentral:rRNA from 1 species
CGAUGCAACGCGAAGAACCUUACCAGCUCUUGACAUCCCGGUCGCGGAUCGCAGAGAUGCUUUCCUUCAGUUCGGCUGGACCGGUGACAGGUGCUGCAUGGCUGUCGUCAGCUCGUGUCGUGAGAUGUUGGGUUAAGUCCCGCAACGAGCGCAACCCUCAUCUUCAGUUGCCAGCGGUUCGGCCGGGCACUCUGAAGAAACUGCCGGUGACAAGCCGGAGGAAGGCGGGGAUGACGUCAAGUCCUCAUGGCCCUUAUGAGCUGGGCUACACACGUGCUACAAUGGCGGCGACAGUGGGAAGCAAGACCGCGAGGUGGAGCUAAUCCCCAAAAGCCGUCUCAGUUCGGAUUGUUCUCUGCAACUCGAGAGCAUGAAGUCGGAAUCGCUAGUAAUCGCCGGAUCAGACAUAGUACGUCGGUGAAUACGUUCCGGGUCUU